rnacentral:lncRNA from 1 species
AAAAAAGAAACCAGCAUGAAAUCAUGUUUUGGUAUAAUCACACUUCAGGAGAUGUCCUAAGUAAUUUCAAAUGCACCAGGGGUAGUCUUUCAGUUAAAGAAAUCCACAAGGGAGUCCUUAUUUUUGUAAAGCCUAGAUCCCUUUGGUGAAAAGCAUCACCACCUCUCUGGCAUCUCUCAAGAGUUAUACACCCACACCCACUGAAAGCAGGGCAUGAGUGGCACCCAGGACUCUGGCAAAGGCUCC